rnacentral:rRNA from 1 species
AUUGAACGCUGGCGGCAGGCUUAACACAUGCAAGUCGAGCGGGGUGAUGGUGCUUGCACUAUCACUUAGCGGCGGACAGGUGAGUAAUGCUUAGGAAUCUGCCUAUUAGUGGGGGACAACAUCUCGAAAGGGAUGCUAAUACCGCAUACGUCCUACGGGAGAAAGCAGGGGAUCACUUGUGACCUUGCGCUAAUAGAUGAGCCUAAGUCGGAUUAGCUAGUUGGUGGGGUAAAGGCCUACCAAGGCGACGAUCCGUAGCGGGUCUGAGAGGAUGAUCCGCCACACUGGGACUGAGACACGGCCCAGACUCUUACGGGAGGCAGCAGUGGGGAAUAUUGGACAAUGGGGGGAACCCUGAUCCAGCCAUGCCGCGUGUGUGAAGAAGGCCUUAUGGUUGUAAAGCACUUUAAGCGAGGAGGAGGCUCUUUUGGUUAAUACCCAAGAUGAGUGGACGUUACUCGCAGAAUAAGCACCGGCUAACUCUGUGCCAGCCGCCGCGGUAA